GGAAUAUUGCACAAUGGGCGCAAGCCUGAUGCAGCGACGCCGCGUGAGGGAUGACGGCCUUCGGGUUGUAAACCUCUUUCAGUAGGGAAGAAGCGAAAGUGACGGUACCUGCAGAAGAAGCGCCGGCUAACUACGUGCCAGCAGCCGCGGUAAUACGUAGGGCGCAAGCGUUAUCCGGAAUUAUUGGGCGUAAAGAGCUCGUAGGCGGUUUGUCGCGUCUGCCGUGAAAGUCCGGGGCUCAACUCCGGAUCUGCGGUGGGUACGGGCAGACUAGAGUGAUGUAGGGGAGACUGGAAUUCCUGGUGUAGCGGUGAAAUGCGCAGAUAUCAGGAGGAACACCGAUGGCGAAGGCAGGUCUCUGGGCAUUAACUGACGCUGAGGAGCGAAAGCAUGGGGAGCGAACAGGAUUAGAUACCCCUG
rnacentral:rRNA from 1 species